rnacentral:misc_RNA from 1 species
UGUGGGAGCGAGCCUGCUCGCGAUGGCUGUGGGUCAGUUGAAUUGAUGUGACUGAUAGGACGCCAUCGCGAGCAGGCUCGCUCCCACA